GUGUCCAUUCCGUGCGGCCAGAUGUAAGGCUGUCGUCCUGCUGUUAUCAGCUAUGUCUUGAUUUGAGUCCUGCAGAAGUUGGCGGCAUCUGUUAAAGGAGUACACAGCACUUCUGCUUUGUUGUGUCCUCUGCUGGCUGGGCGCAAGAUUGGUCGUAACUGAUCGUCGUUCAGUCUUCCAGUUAGCGUGUUAACGCCACCCCUUGCCGCUUGUGAUGCUAUGCAUGGCCGUUUUAGGAAGGACUGGGGCCUUCAUUUAACACCACUCCACGAUCACCAAAGGUCUUUAUAUGAAUGGUUGUAGUUGCAGUUGCUGAAGUAGACAGAAUAGGCUGUCCUAAUCACUACUAAAAGGGUACGAAGCCUACUUAGCCUGAUAGCCGAAGUACUCGUGGCCUAUCACAUUUUAUGAAGA